rfam:Anopheles gambiae M scf_1925495477 genomic scaffold, whole genome shotgun sequence.
AGCAAUAUUUCGCUGAUCGGAACCCGUAGAAGGUUAACAUAGGCUCUCCAUCCCCUGCUCCAACUCAAUGCGUCCCCGUCGUACAGAACGGAAACAUGUCUCCCAAUUAUUCAAGCUUGGAUAUACGGAGAAACCCAACCCCUUGGAUGAAUGGGUUGCAUGGUUAAAUAAAAAUCC